rnacentral:tRNA from 1 species
UGUACCCUUAGCUCAGUUGGUUAGAGCAGACGGCUCAUAACCGUCCGGUCGUAGGUUCGAGUCCUACAGGGUACAU